UGACCAGCCAUCAGUAAAUCGAAAUACAGUAAAAAAAAUGAGCGCGAAACCCUGACACUUUACAGAAAGGCACGGAUAUCCCCGCCCGAAGAAAAAAAGAGCACAGGACAAUGGUUGCAAGUUAAACAGCUGAACAUUUCACCAUCUGCAAAGAACAUUUCACCAUCGACAUAUCAACAUAAACGGUUCUCUUUUUCGUGUUUGACUGCAUUUGGUACAGGUCACAACAACAACGGCAGAUGCAGAGAUCACGCUUUCCCUUGCUUCCACUCCACGGCUGAUCAUGCUUGAGGAUCCAGAUCUACAAAACAAAAAAUGGAUGCUGCCGAUUGAAGGCUAAGUCCGCUUUCCUGCGAUUGACCUACCAUUUCUUCAGCUUUUGCUGUUCACUUUGGUUGCUACUACGUGCUCAACAUCGAGUACCAAGUGGAAGCAGCCACUACUUUGGAGUUUAUUCAGAGAUUCAUUGUAAGGAUCAACCCUGACAACAGCAAGUGCUCCUCUAAGUUCCAGGUGAGCAAAAGAAGUGGGAAGAUGGUGCAAAGGAGGAACUCUGGCCUGAACCCUCAUGUAUCCACCUUUAUUAAGGAGUUUAUGAAUUAAGCAAAACUAUUAAGCUACUAAAGCAAAUACAUUCUACUCAACUCACCAGAGGUUUGUGAAGUUCUUUUUUUAUCUUAAAGGUUUCUUUUAGUUAAUUUGUCCAUGCACUGAUUUAUAAUAUUGUAAUAUGAAACUCCAGUGUAUACAUGUUACUACUGUUGCUUCUAAAAGCAAAAUAAGUCUACGCAGGAGAGGUUUUGUUACGUUUUUUUUAAUUAUUCUUAUAGACGGUUUCAUUGGAUGCACGUGAUACACGUUUGGAUCCGAACCUUACUUCCGGUUUCGCUUUUUUAAUGGUCUGACUAGUUGCUAAACUGAUCUCUUGAACAAAUGCCUCGUCGAAAAUAACAAAUGUUUUGGUUUCCGAGCUAAUCUAUGAGUUGUUGUUUUUUGCUUGUUAUAUAAAUAAAAUGCGUUUAAAGAACUUUGUUGUUUUUUAUUCUUAGCGGAGUUUAUCGGAAGUUCAUGCGGACCGCGACAGCCGUUUGUUUAUGUUGUUACUGCUGAAACCGUCUAUAGUUAUAACUGAAUUUGUACUAAGAUUAUUUGAUAAUACUGUGAAAUGAAACAGUGAGUAAAUGUUACAGUACAUUGGCUGUGAAAAAGCUGUUGCUGCAAGAAAUUACAAUUUACUCAGAAUAAUAUUUUGAAUGUAUGAGUUUUUGACAUUGCUUAUGACUGCAUUUGAAUGUAUUGUUCAUGAAUUGAUGCUGUGAUAUGUGUGUGUAAAUGUUUUGUGUGUUACAGGAUAAAAGAUUUGCUAAACGUAUUUUGUAUUUGAACAUUGUUAUUAUGACUGAGUUAGUGCAUGACUUGAUUUAAAAUUCUGUAAUAUGAUAUCUAUGAGUAAAUGUUAUUGCCGGUUUGAGAAAAACAGUUUGUGAUGCAAGCUGAAAGUUCAAUGUGCAAAAAUAUGAAAAUCUGAUUUCAUGUAUUUAAAAAACUAAAAGAAAUUUUAAAAACAUGUUGUCAUUGCUUAUUUUUGUUUUUACUUAAAGCUGUUUUAACACCUCCAUUUAAAUUUUGUGCAGUUUUGUAGUAAAUAGAAAUGGGAAAAUGAA